GGCGGCUUCCUGUCAAUUGGAUGUGUGCAUAGCAUGGGAGCUUCAAUGCUGCCAUUUCAGGUCUGUCGUAGGAGUGGCACGCCCCAGAAAGCUCGCCUUCGUGCAUAGCGUUUGCCACCAGCAUUUCCAGGGAAACAUUACAGAAGCAUAAGCUGCAGCUGCCCGGAAGCGUAGCGGAUAAAGAAUGUUUGGCAACAUGAAAUGGCCUUUGACGACACAGGCGAGUAGUGGAUGCCACACUUCAGUUCUAAUUAAAGUUACAUCAGCACAGAGCAUGUAUGCUACGACCAAGUUGGGUCCAUACUUUGGAUUACCAUGUACAGUGUCACUCUCUUCUGCAUUCCAGAAGGUGGAAGCCAGUGUUUCUUUGCUGUUGCCAUUUCAAUUUAGUAUAUUUUCAUGUUUUCAUGCUCUGCAAAUUACAGCCAGAGGUUGCACGGUCUUGAAAUGAAGACUACUUUUUGUGUUUUCAAGAUAAAAUUUUAGCUAUAAUAAACGGAAUUUCCAAAAAACAAGUUUU